UACGUAGGCACCAAGCGUUGUCCGGAUUUAUUGGGCGUAAAGAGCUCGUAGGCGGUUUGGUGAGUCGGGUGUGAAAUCUCCACGCUCAACGUGGAGGGGCCACCCGAUACUGCCAUGACUAGAGUCCGGUAGGGGAGUGUGGAAUUCCCGGUGUAGCGGUGAAAUGCGUAGAGAUCGGGAAGAACAUCGGUGGCGAAAGCGCUCUACUGGGCCAUAACUGACACUCAGGGACGAAAGCUAGGGGAGCGAAUGGG
rnacentral:rRNA from 1 species